rnacentral:lncRNA from 1 species
UUAGGACCAGAUAAGAAUAAUUCUGGUAAGCUAUUUACCCCACUGUAAUCAGUUGAGAUGUUACUAUACAUGGUAACAGAUGAAUCUGCUCUUCUGUGAGUUUUAUAAAUGAUCUUAGCUCACGAAGCCAUGGCAUUAAAUUUACAUUAGAAAAGGUUUGACCCUUGGGUCCGUGCAUGCAGUUCUCUGUUGCAGAAAAGCAUUACAAAGCUCUCUAUAGGGAGAUCUGAAAAGACAUCAAAAA